rnacentral:rRNA from 1 species
GGAAUAUUGGGCAAUGGGCGCAAGCCUGACCCAGCAAUGCCGCGUGCGUGACGAAGGUCCUCGGAUCGUAAAUCGCUUUUGUAGGGGAGUAGCAAGGAGAGUACACCACGAUUAAGUCACGGCUAAAUACUUGCCAGCAGCCGCGGUAAUACGUAGGUGACAAAUGUUAUCCGGAAUUACUGGGCGUAAAGGGUCCGCAGGCGGCUUUUUAGGUCUGAUGUGACAACUCCCGGCUUAACUGGGAGAGCGCAUUGGAAACCGGAAGGCUGGAAUCACGUUGAGGUCGGUGGAAUUCCCGGUGUAGUGGUGGAAUGCGUAGAGAUCGGGAGGAACCUCGAAAGCGAAGGCAGCCGGCUAAACGAUGAUUGACGCUGAGGGACGAUAGCGUGGGUAGCAAA